GCUCCGGUGGCUUACUUGUUAGAGCGUCUGCCUCGGAUGCCGGAGGUCGCGGGUUUGAAUCCUGGCCGAGUCA